AUGGAUGCGUGUGUGUUCAAUGGUAUAUCCUAUAGAUAAAGAAAGCACAUAGGACAUAUCUCGAAAAGCUACAAUUAGAUUUGAUUCAAGGCUUUUCGACAAAUGUUCCUCACAGCUAAAACUAUGUAGUGUACGUAAGGAUAUAGCAUUGAGCGCACACGCGUGGUAGGGGAGCUUACUGUAGGAGGUAGAAGCACGACCGGGAGGACGUGUGGACGGAACAGUAGUGAGAAUGCCGGAAUAAGUAGCGAGAGUAAAGUGAGAAUCUUUACCGUCGAAAGCCUAAGGAUUCCUGGGGAAGGUUCGUCCGCCCAGGGUAAGUCGGGACCUAAGCCGAGGCUUAAGAAGCGUAGGUGAUGGACAACAGGUUGAAAUUCCUGUACUACCGAGGCUCGCAUGAGAGAGGUGGGGACGCAGGAGGAUAGGUUCAGCGAGCAGCUGGAAGAGCUCGUCCAAGGGAGAUAGAUAGUCCGGCAGGCAAAUCCGCCGGACGUUUCGAAGGCCUUAAGGGGAGGGAAAAUAGAGUACCGAAGGGACUGAUUCCACACUGACGAGAAAAGCCACUAUCGAGAGCGGAGGUACCCGUACCGCAAACCGACACAGGUAGGUGAGGAGAGAAUCCUAAGACGAGCGGGAGAAGCGUUGUUAAGGAACUCGGCAAAUUGACCCCGUAAGUUCGCGAGAAGGGGUGGCGCGCAAGCGCCCGCAGAGAAUAGGCCCAAGCAACUGUUUAUCAAAAACACAGGUCUCUGCUAAAUCGGAAGAUGAAGUAUAGGGGCUGACGCCUGCCCGGUGCUGGAAGGUUACGGGGAUCUGUAAGCGGAAGCGAAGCAGUGAACUUAAGCCC
rnacentral:rRNA from 1 species